GAGGCUGCUGCUAUGGGGCCGGGCGGCCGUGUGGCGCGGCUGCUCGCGCCACUAAUGUGGCGCAGGGCGGUUUCCUCGAUGGCGGGGUCCGCGGUUGGGGCCGAGCCCGGGCUUCGGCUGCUGGCCGUGCAGCGGCUUCCCGUAGGAGCAGCGUUCUGCCGGGCUUGCCAGACCCCAAACUUUGUCCGCGGCCUGCACAGCGAGCCUGGGCUGGAGGAGCUGGCGGAGGGGACGGUCAACGAGGGACGCCCAGAAUCGGACGCGGCAGAUCAUACUGGUCCCAAGUUUGACAUCGACAUGAUGGUUUCACUUCUGAGGCAAGAAAAUGCAAGAGACAUUUGUGUGAUCCAGGUUCCUCCAGAAAUGAGAUAUACAGAUUACUUUGUGAUUGGUAGCGGAACUUCUACCCGACACUUACAUGCCAUGGCCUUCUACAUUGUGAAAAUGGUAGGAUGCUUUCUUUUCUCUUUUGGACCAUCAACUGAGUGGAAUAGUGACAGUGCAUCAGGCCAAGGAGCAACACUUAGAGAGUAAACCCAUCAUACAAAGUUACAGAAGAAGCCCAAAUUUUCAGAAUUUGCAUGAAUUCAUGUUAUGUUCUUUGAUAGUGAAAGAUAUAGGAGCA
rnacentral:sRNA from 1 species